rnacentral:rRNA from 1 species
UGGGGAAUUUUGGACAAUGGGCGAAAGCCUGAUCCAGCAAUGCCGCGUGUGUGAAGAAGGCCUUCGGGUUGUAAAGCACUUUUGUCCGGAAAGAAAUCCUUGGCUCUAAUACAGUCGGGGGAUGACGGUACCGGAAGAAUAAGCACCGGCUAACUACGUGCCAGCAGCCGCGGUAAUACGUAGGGUGCAAGCGUUAAUCGGAAUUACUGGGCGUAAAGCGUGCGCAGGCGGUUUGCUAAGACCGAUGUGAAAUCCCCGGGCUCAACCUGGGAACUGCAUUGGUGACUGGCAGGCUAGAGUAUGGCAGAGGGGGGUAGAAUUCCACGUGUAGCAGUGAAAUGCGUAGAGAUGUGGAGGAAUACCGAUGGCGAAGGCAGCCCCCUGGGCCAAUACUGACGCUCAUGCACGAAAGCGUGGGGAGCAAACAGGAUUAGAUACCCUGGUAGUCCACGCCCUAAACGAUGUCAACUAGUUGUUGGGGAUUCAUUUCCUUAGUAACGUAGCUAACGCGUGAAGUUGACCGCCUGGGGAGUACGGUCGCAAGAUUAAAACUCAAAGGAAUUGACGGGGUCAUACUGUUUCCU